AUUGAACGCUGGCGGCAGGCUUAACACAUGCAAGUCGAGCGAGCGGCGGACGGGUGAGUAAUGUCUGGGAAACUGCCUGAUGGAGGGGGAUAACUCCUGGAAACGGUAGCUAAUACCGCAUACCAUCAGAUGUGCCCAGAUGGGAUUAGCUAGUAGGUGGGGUAAUGGCUCACCUAGGCGACGAUCCCUAGCUGGUCUGAGCGGACGACCGGCCACACUGGAAAUGAGGAAGGGGCCAGACUCGUAGGGGAGGCAGCAGGGGGGAAUAUUGGACAAUGGGCGGAAGCCUGAUGCAGCCAUGCCGGGUGUGUGAAGAAGGCCGUCGGGGUGUAAAGUACUUUCAGCGGGGAGGGGGUACCGGAAGAAGAAGCACCGGCUAACUCCGUGCCAGCAGCCGCGGUAAUC
rnacentral:rRNA from 1 species